UUCUUGAGCAUAUUGUGGGUUUCCUGUGUUGUAUUCCAAUUUGAUGGUAUUGUUUGGCUUAUUGAAGUCCCUUUUCAUCUUGUGUUGCCUUUGUGAWUCAAGAUGAACUAUGAAGUGGUCUCUAUGUUCCACUAUGUUGAUGCAAAUGCAUUGAUGUUGUGGCCCAUKGASCUUUGCUUGUUAUCCUGGAUACGGAACAUUAUGUGGGCAUGGGGUCUUUYGUGGCUCUUKUUUUGUCCUUGAUUUGUGUUCUUCAAAACGACAGUUCAUGUGCGCCUAGGCUCGUACCUGCGUGAUGAUCUUUGUCAAA
rnacentral:misc_RNA from 1 species